CUAGUAGUCCUCACUAUUCUGUUAAAUAGUGUGACAAUAAAUGUAAUGAGGACUUAUUCUGAGAGUGGAUAUUGUCUAGAAGACAGUAUUUGUAUUAAAACUCACAGCUCUCUUGUUGUAUAAUUAAGAUUGUAUUUGUAUUCUGUACCGUGUAUUUGGCGACUCAGAAUAGGUGAUGUAUACCUAUUUUGGGAGCGUCACAACAUGGACCAAUCUGAGCAGCUUCAGGUGUAUAUACACAUUUACCUAUACACAAUAUUUCUAACGUGUGAGCUCAUCUGCAUAUAACAAGUUACUUACUACUAAACUAAGUUUAGAACAAUGUUUGUGCCUAGGAUCAGACUCAAAGUGAUUAGCUUUUGAAUAUAGCAUGAGAACCUGCUUUGAUACCAAUUGUUAGUUCCCAGUAGGCACAAUAGAUCUAGAAGGGGGGGUUGAAUAGAUCCUUUUUAAUAUCAAAUACUUUUCUGGUUUACUUUGUAUUGCUCAUAAUUUAGCAUAUGACAAACAUAAGAAUCUUUUCAAGCACAACGGAAUAAGUAAAAGAUCCCCUUCAUUGAUAUAUUCAUCAUCAUACAUAUAUUGUUCGUAGAGUUAGUUCGGUUGUAAGCAGUUAGAACAUACAUAGCAGUUAUAGCAGUUAUAGCACAUAAUGUAAAUGACAUAAUGUAAAUGACAUAAGGGUUUUUAAGUGGUUCAGAGACUCAAGCUCCUAAUCCAAUCUUCUUCUUUCAACUAGCAAGAUUUCCACUAAGGAAGGGAAGCACCCUGAAUCACUAAGAUUCCUUCAAGGCCAGCAGCCUUGGAACUUCAGUUCACUAAGAACUCUUCAAGGCCACCAGCCUUGGAACUCCUCUAGUUCCCUAGGAACUCUUCAAGCCCAGCAGGCUUGGAACUUCAUUUAGUCCCUCCGGACAAGGACACCUUAGGCCCUGGCUUCUGUUGAGUUGUUUGUUUGUUUGUUGGAGUUGGUGCUGAGCUGCUAAGAUGUCUUCAUGCUCUGAACAUCUUCUUUACUUAUCCGCUUGGCGUGAUCACCCUUGAAGUACAGUUGAGUGUUGCAUGAUGCUCAGCUUCUUCAGUUACUCAACCACUUCGGAUGAUCCCUUGAUGACUGCCUUAAAGAUCAUUCCUCUUGAUACAUGAUGGCUGCACAUGAUGGGUUUCUAAGAUGACUGUAAGCUCUUCUGCUAGGUACUUAGAAACUUUCUCAUGCUUGCCACCAUGAUGACGUUUGUGAUCUCCCUUCUUGAUACUUGAUGUCUUCUCAUGAUGGACUUGCUAAGAUGACUAUGAGCUCUUCUUCAUGGUACUUAGAGUCUUCCCAUGAUGGGCACCAAGAUGACAUGAUGCUCUUCUUUCUCUCAGCAGUUCAGAACACUCUUCAAGUAGUAGAACUCUCACUUCUACAUUGUAGAACUCUCACUUCUACUUCUUUCUUUGUCUGACUCUAAGUAUUCUUGGUGGAUCAUAGAGUGAGCCUUCGGACUCACUAUCUUACAUGGUUUAGAACAGUCCACCAUUACUCCAAACUCGGCAACUUUAGCUCACUUCGAUCUUUGAAGCUCUAGCAAAUUUAUACUCCUUCCCAAUCCUUCCGUUGGAAAGUAGUCGUUGAAGGCUAUUCAAAUGUCUUCACAGAUCUCGAGUUGACAGAGGUAGACUGCUAAUGUGAUAAGUCAUACUUUCUCUGACAUUGCAGUCUACUAUUUCACCUACCCAUCAGAGAUGUCACUUUAAUGUCUUGGGCAGGUCGAAGACUUUAUUUCCUCCUUCUGAUUUCUCGAUCAGAGGUUGUCCUUUUGCAUCGAUGCUCUCAAUAAGCUUUUAUCUGAAUAUAACCCUUCAGAUUGAACCGUUGCCAAUGCUUCAGUCUUCAGCUAUUCGAACUCUACGAUUCUGAUGCAUGUCUUCGAGGACCUGAUCGUAGUGUCAUGUUGACUGGUAUAGACAACACUACGAUCUUGAAGAGUAUUGAUUGGAUCUUUAGUGUAGAACACCUCUUCCUUCUCUUAUGUAGUACUUCAACACUUUUGUUUGCUUCGACUGUUCUCAGAUACUGAUGGCUUGACUUUUUUGAUCUGGCCCCUUAAGAAUAGCAAGACACUUCAGAUUUGUGGCGCAUCCAGCUCGCUUUCUCCUGGUGAUCUCCCGUUCACUUAUCAUCAAUGGACUGACCCUACGCUUAAUCACUUUAGCCUUGUUCUUCAGAGGCUGACCAGUAUCUCUGUGCACAUUCCAUCAGUUCUUUCUUUAUUUGGCAAACACUAUGAUCCUGGUUGCUUCCAAGAUCGUUGUCUUCUGUCUGCUUGACAGCUACUGCACUUGUUGACUUUCUUUAGUCAGUUACUGAAGUCUUCUUCUGAUCAACUUGUGGAAGACUUUGUCUCGAAUGGCUUCACAACUCAAUCUUGAUGCUUAUUGGGUUGGUGAUUAGAUCUUCUGUUAGCUUGCAUGCCAUUCGUUGAGCGCUCUCUAGUUCCCUUCAGGUGGGAUGUAUCUUCGCAGUGCCAACCAGAGGCUUUGUUCCUUUGGAUAUUCUGGGAGUUCUCAUUGGUUGAGAAUCGUAUUUGCCCUACGAUUCUGCCUAUGCAUUGUGAGCACAUAUGUUGAGGUCGUAGUUCUGCACUCUACGAUUCAGCUUCAGCUGUGCAGACACUACGACUCCUAGAUCAGAUCUUGACACUCUACGAUUUCUGCCUUGUGCUUGUUGUCUUUAUCUGAUCUCGCUCGACUACGAUCUCUGCAUGUAAUCAAUAGACUCUACCACUCAGAGUGCAGUUUACGAUCCUUGACUUGGCUUCGGCAUCAGUAGACUCUACGACUCCGAGUGUAGUCUACGUUUCUUACUUGGCU
rnacentral:lncRNA from 1 species